AUUGAACGCUGGCGGCAGGCCUAACACAUGCAAGUCGAGCGGAUGAAGGGAGCUUGCUCCUGGAUUCAGCGGCGGACGGGUGAGUAAUGCCUAGGAAUCUGCCUGGUAGUGGGGGAUAACGUCCGGAAACGGGCGCUAAUACCGCAUACGUCCUGAGGGAGAAAGUGGGGGAUCUUCGGACCUCACGCUAUCAGAUGAGCCUAGGUCGGAUUAGCUAGUUGGUGGGGUAAAGGCCUACCAAGGCGACGAUCCGUAACUGGUCUGAGUGGAUGAUCAGUCACACUGGAACUGGGACACGGUCCAGACUCCUACGGGGGGGAGGAGUGGGGAAUAUUGGACAAUGGGCCGAAGCCUGAUCCAGGCAUGCCGCGGGUGGUAAGAAGGUCUUCGGAUUGUAAAGCACUUUAAGUUGGGAGGAAGGGCAGUAAGUUAAUACCUUGCUGUUUUGACGUUACCAACAGAAUAAGCACCGGCUAACUUCGUG
rnacentral:rRNA from 1 species